UGUGAGCUCGAUGAGUAGGGCGGGACACGUGGUAUCCUGUCUGAAUAUGGGGGGACCAUCCUCCAAGGCUAAAUACUCCUGACUGACCGAUAGUGAACCAGUACCGUGAGGGAAAGGCGAAAAGAACCCCGGCGAGGGGAGUGAAAAAGAACCUGAAACCGUGUACGUACAAGCAGUGGGAGCACGCUUAGGCGUGUGACUGCGUACCUUUUGUAUAAUGGGUCAGCGACUUAUAUUCUGUAGCAAGGUUAACCGAAUAGGGGAGCCGAAGGGAAACCGAGUCUUAACUGGGCGUUAAGUUGCAGGGUAUAGACCCGAAACCCGGUGAUCUAGCCAUGGGCAGGUUGAAGGUUGGGUAACACUAACUGGAGGACCGAACCGACUAAUGUUGAAAAAUUAGCGGAUGACUUGUGGCUGGGGGUGAAAGGCCAAUCAAACCGGGAGAUAGCUGGUUCUCCCCGAAAGCUAUUUAGGUAGCGCCUCGUGAAUUCAUCUCCGGGGGUAGAGCACUGUUUCGGCAAGGGGGUCAUCCCGACUUACCAACCCGAUGCAAACUGCGAAUACCGGAGAAUGUUAUCACGGGAGACACACGGCGGGUGCUAACGUCCGUCGUGAAGAGGGAAACAACCCAGACCGCCAGCUAAGGUCCCAAAGUCAUGGUUAAGUGGGAAACGAUGUGGGAAGGCCCAGACAGCCAGGAUGUUGGCUUAGAAGCAGCCAUCAUUUAAAGAAAGCGUAAUAGCUCACUGGUCGAGUCGGCCUGCGCGGAAGAUGUAACGGGGCUAAACCAUGCACCGAAGCUGCGGCAGCGACACUAUGUGUUGUUGGGUAGGGGAGCGUUCUGUAAGCCUGUGAAGGUGUACUGUGAGGUAUGCUGGAGGUAUCAGAAGUGCGAAUGCUGACAUAAGUAACGAUAAAGCGGGUGAAAAGCCCGCUCGCCGGAAGACCAAGGGUUCCUGUCCAACGUUAAUCGGGGCAGGGUGAGUCGACCCCUAAGGCGAGGCCGAAAGGCGUAGUCGAUGGGAAACAGGUUAAUAUUCCUGUACUUGGUGUUACUGCGAAGGGGGGACGGAGAAGGCUAUGUUGGCCGGGCGACGGUUGUCCCGGUUUAAGCGUGUAGGCUGGUUUUCCAGGCAAAUCCGGAAAAUCAAGGCUGAGGCGUGAUGACGAGGCACUACGGUGCUGAAGCAACAAAUGCCCUGCUUCCAGGAAAAGCCUCUAAGCAUCAGGUAACAUCAAAUCGUACCCCAAACCGACACAGGUGGUCAGGUAGAGAAUACCAAGGCGCUUGAGAGAACUCGGGUGAAGGAACUAGGCAAAAUGGUGCCGUAACUUCGGGAGAAGGCACGCUGAUAUGUAGGUGAAGUCCCUCGCGGAUGGAGCUGAAAUCAGUCGAAGAUACCAGCUGGCUGCAACUGUUUAUUAAAAACACAGCACUGUGCAAACACGAAAGUGGACGUAUACGGUGUGACGCCUGCCCGGUGCCGGAAGGUUAAUUGAUGGGGUCAGCGCAAGCGAAGCUCUUGAUCGAAGCCCCGGUAAACGGCGGCCGUAACUAUAACGGUCCUAAGGUAGCGAAAUUCCUUGUCGGGUAAGUUCCGACCUGCACGAAUGGCGUAAUGAUGGCCAGGCUGUCUCCACCCGAGACUCAGUGAAAUUGAACUCGCUGUGAAGAUGCAGUGUACCCGCGGCAAGACGGAAAGACCCCGUGAACCUUUACUAUAGCUUGACACUGAACAUUGAGCCUUGAUGUGUAGGAUAGGUGGGAGGCUUAGAAGUGUGGACGCCAGUCUGCAUGGAGCCGACCUUGAAAUACCACCCUUUAAUGUUUGAUGUUCUAACGUUGACCCGUAAUCCGGGUUGCGGACAGUGUCUGGUGGGUAGUUUGACUGGGGCGGUCUCCUCCUAAAGAGUAACGGAGGAGCACGAAGGUUGGCUAAUCCUGGUCGGACAUCAGGAGGUUAGUGCAAUGGCAUAAGCCAGCUUGACUGCGAGCGUGACGGCGCGAGCAGGUGCGAAAGCAGGUCAUAGUGAUCCGGUGGUUCUGAAUGGAAGGGCCAUCGCUCAACGGAUAAAAGGUACUCCGGGGAUAACAGGCUGAUACCGCCCAAGAGUUCAUAUCGACGGCGGUGUUUGGCACCUCGAUGUCGGCUCAUCACAUCCUGGGGCUGAAGUAGGUCCCAAGGGUAUGGCUGUUCGCCAUUUAAAGUGGUACGCGAGCUGGGUUUAGAACGUCGUGAGACAGUUCGGUCCCUAUCUGCCGUGGGCGCUGGAGAACUGAGGGGGGCUGCUCCUAGUACGAGAGGACCGGAGUGGACGCAUCACUGGUGUUCGGGUUGUCAUGCCAAUGGCACUGCCCGGUAGCUAAAUGCGGAAGAGAUAAGUGCUGAAAGCAUCUAAGCACGAAACUUGCCCCGAGAUGAGUUCUCCCUGACUCCUUGAGAGUCCUGAAGGAACGUUGAAGACGACGACGUUGAUAGGCCGGGUGUGUAAGCGCAGCGAUGCGUUGAGCUAACCGGUACUAAUGAACCGUGAGGCUUAACCUUACAACGCCGAAG
rnacentral:rRNA from 1 species